rnacentral:rRNA from 1 species
UUUAUGGAGAGUUUGAUCCUGGCUCAGGACGAACGCUGGCGGCGUGCCUAAUACAUGCAAGUCGAGCGGAAAUUUAUUGGUGCUUGCACCUUUAAAUUUUAGCGGCGGACGGGUGAGUAACACGUGGGUAACCUGCCCUACAGACUGGGAUAACUUCGGGAAACCGAGGCUAAUACCGGAUAAUACUUUUUAACCCAUGUUAGAAAGUUGAAAGAUGGUUUUGCUAUCACUGUAGGAUGGACCCGCGGUGCAUUAGCUAGUUGGUGAGGUAACGGCUCACCAAGGCAACGAUGCAUAGCCGACCUGAGAGGGUGAUCGGCCACACUGGGACUGAGACACGGCCCAGACUCCUACGGGAGGCAGCAGUAGGGAAUCUUCCACAAUGGGCGAAAGCCUGAUUCAGCAACGCCGCGUGAGUGAAGAAGGAUUUCGGUUCGUAAAACUCUGUUGUAAGGGAAGAACAAGUACAGUAGUAACUGGCUGUACCUUGACGGUACCUUAUUAGAAAGCCACGGCUAACUACGUGCCAGCAGCCGCGGUAAUACGUAGGUGGCAAGCGUUGUCCGGAAUUAUUGGGCGUAAAGCGCGCGCAGGUGGUCCUUUAAGUCUGAUGUGAAAGCCCACGGCUCAACCGUGGAGGGUCAUUGGAAACUGGGGGACUUGAGUGCAGAAGAGGAUAGUGGAAUUCCAAGUGUAGCGGUGAAAUGCGUA